rnacentral:lncRNA from 1 species
GAGAACUCCCUGCCUGCAGGCCGAAGAAUCUUUUUCUUACCUUGAGCACUGAGGGAUGAGCAGCAACUUGCCCCUCCCGACGUUCCCGGGGGUUGCCAGGCGGCAGCGUAACUUUCCACGAAAAGGCGGCUCUCGGAUCGCUCCCGGAGCGUGUGAAAACUGUGGCCCCCGGAGCUGGCUGGAGGACCACGGGGCAGCUGGCUGGAAGUAAACCACACGAUCCUCCGAUUGCCUGGGGGAAGACGGGAGCCAACAGGGAUUAUAAACUAAGUUUCUUUUCAAGAUGGAGUCUCACUCGUCGCCUAGGCUGGAGUGAAGUGGCACGAUCUCGGCUCACUGCAACCUCCACCUCCCAGGUUCAAGCGAUUCUCCUGCCUCAGCAUCCAGAGUAGCUGGGAUUACAGGCGCCCGCCACCACACCUGGCUAAUUUUUGUAUUUUUAGUAGAGAUGAGGUUUCACCAUGUUGAUCAGGCUGGUCUCGAACUCCUGACCUCGUGAUCUGCCUGCCUCAGCCUCCCAAAGUACUGGGAUUACAGGCGUGAGCCACUGCACCCAACCCAGACUUCUAGUUCUUCCAUUAAUGUUCAUUUUCUGUCCCAGAAUCCAAUCCAGCAUAUCACAUUGCAUUUUCUUGUUAUAUCUCAUUAGUCUCCCUUGUGUCUGUGAUAAGUUCUCAAUUUUUUUCUUGUUUUUCAUAACCUUGACAGUAUUCAGGAGCACUGACUCAUCUAAUAUUGUGUAAAAUAUCCCUCAGUUUGAUUUUGUCUGAUGGUUGUCACAUGCUUAGGCUGGAGUUAGGGGUUUUUGGAAAGAAAACCACAGAGGUUAAGUGUCCUUCUCAUCACAUAAUAUCGGAGGUAUAUUAUGUCUCCAUGACAUCACUUGUGAUUUUAUCUUCAGUCAUUCUGUUAAGGUAAUGUUUGCCAGGUUUCUUCACUGUAAAGUUACUAUUUUUUCCCAUCCAUACUCAAUUCUUUGGAAGCAAUUCACUAAGUUCAGCCUGGUCUCAAAGGAGGGAGAUUAAACUCUAUCGCCUAAAAGAAUAAUAUCUACAUACAAUAUUUAAAAUUUUUUGUAAAUAACACUAUUUCUUCUUUAUUUGCUCAAUCUUUUUAUGUCACUAUGGACAAAUGCGUAUUUUAUAUUUGGGGUUAUAAUCCAAACAAUGUUAGUCAUUUUGUGGCUCAAUUUGUUCCAUCCUUGGCCAUUGGCCCCUGUGUGUCUUUGACAUGCCUUCAUCAUUUUGUUUUUGUUUCAUUUGGUUUGUUUUUGAGCACCUCAUUACUUUCUGGUACUGCAUGACUUUUCAGGUUCAUCUUGUAUUUUUCCUAACCCAGCUUGAGAAUCAGCCAUUUCUCCAAGGAGGCCUGGUUCCUUUUAUGGGAGAAUGGUGUUUAGAAACCAAGAUCUGGAGUCUGGGUAUGUUUGUUUUUGUGGUGGUGUCAUUGCUUUCAGGUCCUCUCAGAGUCAGAGCUAAAUAAUAUACGUAUGUACAUUAUUAACCCAUGAAUUCAUACAUAUCUAUCAUUGUUUUUGCUUCUGUAUGCAUAAGCUAAACACUAGCACAUAUUGCUAUCUCUGACUCUCACCCAGUACCAUAAAGCUUGUACUAGCCUUCCCUUUUUACCUAUUUAUAACUUUCCUGCUAGUCAUGAGAAAUCUUGCUCCUACCAUCGAUUAUUCAUUUACUUAUUUUUUCCAGCCCCAGUAUACAUUUAAAGUACUUUCAGAAUUACUAACCUGUACUUCCAGUACCAGUGUUUUCAUGGACAUAUGUUUUUAUUUCUCUUGAAUAAAUUCCAAGAAGUGCAAUUGCUGACCGUAAGAUAGGUGUUUGGCCAGCAUGGUGGCACACACCUAUAAUCCUAGCUACUCAGGAGGCUGAUGCAGGAGGAUUGCUUCAGCUCAGGAGUUCGAGACCAGCUGGGCAACAUACCAGGACCCUGUUUCUUAAAUAAAAUUGUUCUAAAAAAGAUAGAUGCAUGAUUAGUUUUAUAAAAACACACCAGAGCUUUUUCCAAAGUAAUUGUGCCAUUUUAAGGGUUUCUUUUGUUAAAUCAAAUUUUUCCCAAGUUAAAACUCUUCAAUGGACUCCUAGUUUAGUUAGAAUUAAAUCCAAACUCCUUAACUGGUCUACAAAGUCCUGUGUGAUCUGACCUCUGCCUAUUUCUCUCAUCCCAUCUCUUGCCAACUUUUCCUUCACUAACUACAUUUCAGCCAUACUGACUUUCCAAAAUUGUUUCUCCAGAGCCUCAAAAAACUGACCGGGCAUGGUGAUUCAUGUGUGUAAUCCCAACACUUUGGAAGGCCAGAGUGGGCAGAUCACUUGAAGCCAGAAGUUCAAGACCACCCU